AUAAACAGAACGUUCCCUGUCUUGUUUAGUUUUGAAGGAUCAUUCCUUCGAAACGUGUUCUUUGAAAACUAGAUAACAGUAGACAUCACAUUCAAUUAGUAACACAAGAUAUCACAUAGUGAUUCUUUUAACGGUUAAGUUAGAAAGGGCGCACGGUGGAUGCCUUGGCACUAGGAGCCGAUGAAGGACGGGACUAACACCGAUAUGC
rnacentral:rRNA from 1 species